rnacentral:rRNA from 1 species
AACGAACGCUGGCGGCAGGCUUAACACAUGCAAGUCGAACGCCCCGCAAGGGGAGUGGCAGACGGGUGAGUAACGCGUGGGAACAUACCCUUUCCUGCGGAAUAGCUCUGGGAAACUGGAAUUAAUACCGCAUACGCCCUACGGGGGAAAGAUUUAUCGGGGAAGGAUUGGCCCGCGUUGGAUUAGCUAGUUGGUGGGGUAAAGGCCUACCAAGGCGACGAUCCAUAGCUGGUCUGAGAGGAUGAUCAGCCACAUUGGGACUGAGACACGGCCCAAACUCCUACGGGAGGCAGCAGUGGGGAAUAUUGGACAAUGGGCGCAAGCUUGAUCCAGCCAUGCCGCGUGAGUGAUGAAGGCUUUAGGGUUGUAAAGCUCUUUCACCGAUGAAGAUAAUGACGGUAGUCGGAGAAGAAGCCCCGGCUAACUUCGUGCCAGCCGCCGCGGUAAAAC